rnacentral:misc_RNA from 1 species
CAACUCUACUCGCAGCAAAUGUUAUGGUGAGAAUGAGAUUGCAGCUGUAGAAACCGCUACAUUACAUAGUUUUCUACAGAUAUUUGUGAUAACAAAUUUGGGACUGAACAAAUGGCAAUGAGGCACCCAUAGCAAAUGUUUCACCAUUGCCCCUCUCAUGUGUACUGGGUGGAAAUUGAUUUCUACAAAUAUUUCUAAAGAACUUGGCCCCUAAAAUUGUGGGAUAGUAACCAUAGGGGUUUAGAUCUAUUACUUUGGUUUUCUCUAUUGCCUUGGUCCCUAGAAAGGGAGAACAGUUAGUUCAUGGGAUUUGUAACCUGUUAAUUUUGUUGGUGUUAUUCUUUGUCUCAAGUUUUUUAUUACUUGAACCUCUUAGUUAAUUGAAGCUUUGAGUUUAUUUAAUCUGAAGGGAAGCGGAGGCUAUUUUUUGAGUUGAUUCUGAUUUGUUAUCAAGUUAAAGUAUCAACUCAAGCUUUUGUGUUGAUUCUGUUAAUGAAGAUGGACAUUUGGUAUUACUUUUUAAAGGUUUUUGUUUUUGAGGUUGAGAUUUGACUGUACAGUGAGUUUGAAAAUGCAUUCUAGUUUUCUUCAAGGUAAUAUUUGGAAGUUAAUUUGGAAAAGGGUGAGCUAUUUGCUGCAGCCAAUUUUGAUAUUGACAUGUGCAUAGCUAUAGGCCCAUUAUGAGUUAUUGUUUAUUAUCCAUCCACUUGAUAUAAUUAAAAUGAACCCGGACAAUAGUAUUUGAUCUAAUAUUCCUAUAUGUUUGAUGUAAUGUGCAUGUGCAGUAGUAAAUUAGGAAACAAAGUUGGCAUUUUAUGCUGUGGUUUAUCCUGAAUAAAGUUUAAUAUGGAUAACUUUACACUAUUGUCAAUACAAUAUGAGGGUUGAAACCUUGAAUUACUUUAAUCAAAUUAGUUUCUUCUUGUUAUUGGAAAUGCUUAAUUCAUAGAUGUUUUCUUGGCAAGAAGCAUUAUGAAUUGGUGAAUCUUUUGCCUCAAAUUGGUGAGUGAGUGAGGAACAUGUGGUGUUUGGCAUAUGAUAUACUUUAGAUGAUCGGGUUCUUUGCGGAGAAUUUACGGAUGGUGCCUAAUGCUUGGAGGGGUUAUUGUUAUAGACUUUUAUGUGUAGAAAUGUGGUAUGAAAUUUCUUUCACUAUUUUCUGGUGAACUUGGAGAUAUUGUAAUUUAACUGCUCAUGAAAAUGAGGAAAAACUUAUAGGAAAGCACAAAAAAAAUUUGAUUAUGGAUUCUUAUCUUUAGAUGACGCAGUUUUUCUUGUGAUUAAUCUUUAGUAAAUCUUGUUGAAAGCAUUUUUCUGGGGAAGUUCUUGAAGUGUAUACUUUUGCAUGAGUGGCUCCCUCUUUUGUGGGUUUUGUUUCUUUUUUUAAAAUUUUUGUUUUUUAAAUACAGUGUAUGUGUGUGUGAG